ensembl:snoRNA
UCCCCCUGGCAAUGAGCAAAGAGACACCUUGUUGGUGGUGGUGUUCUUAUAUCAGUCAGGGGAGAAACAGAUGGCAGUCCUUUGUUCAUUCUAGCUUAUUGCCUGACUUGGUAGCCAAAGCUGUCUCAUGCCUAGGACUCAUAG